rnacentral:lncRNA from 1 species
CUUACGAGUCGAGAUCGCCGAAUGAACGUGCUCAGUGAUCCCAGAGAUCAAUGCUCACCGAACACACAUAUACUGAAUAUUAAGAGUCUUACAUCCAUACAUACCGUUUGAUACAAUAAAUGACCUUAUCGGUCAAGUCUUACAUAUAUAGGGCCUUGAGGGCCAACACACCCAAACUGGACCAAUAGCGGAAUUAUUG